CCUUACGGGCGGUGUGUGCAACUGACGCUGAGGCUCGAAAGUGUGGGUAUCAAACAGGAUUAGAUACCCUGGUAGUCCACACAGUAAACGAUGAAUACUCGCGGUUGGUUCGUUAGAGUCAGCCGCCAAGCGAAAGCGUUAAGUAUUCCACCUGGGGAGUACGCCGGCAACGGUGAAACUCAAAGGAAUUGACGGGGGCCCGCACAAGCGGAGGAACAUGUGGUUUAAUUCGAUGAUACGCGAGGAACCUUACCCGGGCUUGAACUGCCAGUGACUCAUGCAGAGACGCAUGUUUCUUCGGACACUGGCGGAGGUGCUGCAUGGUUGUCGUCAGCUCGUGCCGUGAGGUGUCGGCUUAAGUGCCAUAACGAGCGCAACCCUUCUCCCUGUUUGCCAUCGGGUUAAGCCGGGCACUCCAGGGACACUGCCAUCGUAAGAUGUGAGGAAGGUGGGGAUGACGUCAAAUCAGCACGGCCCUUACGUCCGGGGCUACACACGUGUUACAAUGGGCGGUACAGAAAGCAGCUACCCCGCGAGGGGAUGCCAAUCUCAAAAACCGUUCUCAGUUCGGACUGGAGUCUGCAACCCGACUCCACGAAGCUGGAUUCGCUAGUAAUCGCGCAUCAGCCAUGGCGCGGUGAAUACGUUCCCGGGCCUUGCACACACCGCCCAUA
rnacentral:rRNA from 1 species